rnacentral:rRNA from 1 species
AUUGAACGCUGGCGGCAUGCUUUACACAUGCAAGUCGAACGGCAGCACGGACUUCGGUCUGGUGGCGAGUGGCGAACGGGUGAGUAAUACAUCGGAACGUACCCAGUGGGGGAUAACUAUCCGAAAGGAUAGCUAAUACCGCAUAUUCUCUGAGGAGGGAAGCGGGGGAUCGCAAGACCUCGCGCUGAUGGAGCGGCCGAUAUCAGAUCAGCUAGUUGGUGGGGUAAAGGCCUACCAAGGCGACGAUCUGUAGCGGGUCUGAGAGGAUGAUCCGCCACACUGGGACUGAGACACGGCCCAGACUCCUACGGGAGGCAGCAGUGGGGAAUUUUGGACAAUGGGGGCAACCCUGAUCCAGCCAUGCCGCGUGAGUGAAGAAGGCCUUCGGGUUGUAAAGCUCUUUCGGCCGGGAAGAAAUCGCGUGAGUUAAUACCUUGCGUGGAUGACGGUACCGGAAUAAGAAGCACCGGCUAACUACGUGCCAGCAGCCGCCGUAAUAC